UACGAAGGGGGCUAGCGUUGCUCGGAAUCACUGGGCGUAAAGCGCACGUAGGCGGCUUCUUAAGUCAGGGGUGAAAUCCUGGAGCUCAACUCCAGAACUGCCUUUGAUACUGAGAAGCUUGAGUCCGGGAGAGGUGAGUGGAACUGCGAGUGUAGAGGUGAAAUUCGUAGAUAUUCGCAAGAACACCAGUGGCGAAGGCGACUCACUGGACACGUAUUGACGCUGAGGUGCGAAAGCGUGGGGAGCAAACAGG
rnacentral:rRNA from 1 species